CUCCACCUGCCCGCCGCUAACAAUAACAAGAGUGCCCGGGACAUUGCUCGCAGCUGGGGGUAGUGAAGGAAAGACAGCGGGCAGCCUACAACCAGUGACAGGCAGGUGGUGGGGAUCGAACCCGCAGCCAGGACUCAGCGUGAGCGGACAUCAGUCGGUGUAGCUAUAGGUGAACUCACCUGGACAGGCAGGUAGUGGGGAUCGAACCCGCGGUCAGGACACAGUGCUAUCGGAGAUCAGUCGGUAAAGGUGAACUCACCUGGACAGGUGUGAUGGAGCCAGCAUGGCAGUGUAGAGGGGUGUUUGCAUGUUUUGGGUCAUUUCAAGGUUCACUGCUGCUUGGGGACAGUGUCUGCAGUCUAGACUGACUGACUCUCAAAUCCCAUCCAGCAGUGGAGUCUAAGCUGAGCUUGAUGGGAAGUUUGGUUUACAAAGAACUGGGGUGCAACACUGACCUAAAGAGAAUCUCACUUUUUUGUCUACAGUUAUGAUUUAUCUCACCCCAGCAAUUACUACUGAAGGGUUUACUGGGUUAAAGUGUGAAGCUAGAUAAAUAGCAAACAUUCUCCUCCAAUUCUUGGUGUCCGACCAGGUGAUCUGUCUAUGAAACUGCUCUUACAUGCACAUUGUCCAUUUUCUUUCCAUAGUGGCACUCACACAUACACAAGGGAUCAUGGAAAAUAAUGUGCAGUGAAUGCCAGUCUGUUCCACAACACUUUGCAUUUGCUAGAAACACAAACUCAAAGAAAAAAAUACAAAAAAACACAUGGGGCUUAUUCACCAAACACUGAAUUAUUUCGAACUAUAAAAUAAAUUGCUAUAUUUAGGCUACGACUUCUGCAAUUUCAACCUAGCAUUUAGUGAAUAAACCGCUUUGUAUGUAAAGAUUCUUUGAGCCUGAUUAAAUUAUUUUGUUGCUAGCAUUUUAUAGUUUUUAUGCCUA